rnacentral:rRNA from 1 species
CGCGGUAACACCAGCGCCCCGAGUGGCGGUCACGAUUAUUGGGCCUAAAGCGUUCGUAGCCGGUCAAGUAAAUCCUUUGUGAAAUCGUUGCGCUUAACGCGACGGCGUGCAGGGGACACUGCUUGACUUGGGACCGGGAGGAGUUAGAGGUAUSGCCGUGGGGACCGGUAAAAUGGGAUAAUCCACGGUGGACCACCGAUGGCGAAGGCAUCUAACCAGAACGGAUCCGACGGUGAGGAACGAAAGCCAGGGGAGCGAACCGGAUUAGAUACCCGAGUAGUCCUGGCCGUAAACGCUGUGAGCUAGGUGUUGCCCCUCCUACGAGGAUGGGCAGUGUCGAAAUGAAGGUGUUAAGCUCGCCGCCUGGGAAGUACGGUCGCAAGACUGAAACUUUAAGGAAUUGGCG